rnacentral:SRP_RNA from 1 species
GCCGGGCGUGGUGGCGCACGCCUGAAAUCCCGGCUACUUGGGAGGCUGAGGCAGGAGAAUCGCUUGAACCUGGGAGGCAGAGGUUGCAGUGAGCCGAGGUCGGGCCUCUGCACUCCAGCCUGGGUGAGAGAGCAAGACCCUGUCUCAA